CCUGUACCAUUGUUGCCAACUGGGAGCGAGGAGAGCAACGAGGAAAGGUCCAAGAAAAGGAAGUGGUUAAACCUUGCGUUCGACGCUAUUUCGUCCAUCACAGAUGCCUACAAGUACUUUGUUGAUUAUAAUUGUCAUGAUAAUAUCUGCACAAUUUGUUAUCUCCGUGGUUGCUGUUUCGGUAUCAGAAAUCAAUGAGGAGGGGGAUUUCGGACAAUGGGUUGUGGAAGCCUUAUGACUCCAGCAAUAUGUGCCGACUUUGAAUUGAGCUGUUUGAUGUCCAGCCUCGGUCUUGAAGUCUUAUCGGAAAUCGGAAAAGUGACAUGUAAAUGUCAAGUAAUCAAUUACAAAAAAAAAAUGAAUUCAUUAGAGAGGACAUUAAGCUGAUAA